UUUCCAAAAAAUCUGGAACAUCGUACAAAAUGGGUGAAAGCAUUGAAAAAUGUGGCCAUAAAAACAAAUAGCACUGUAUGUCAAGAACAUUUUAAUGAAACCUGUAUGUACAAAACUGGAUUGUCAUCAUUACGGUUGUACGAAGGAUCUGUACCAUCUAUAUUUCCACAUGUUUCUAAUUUAAGCAUAACAGAAAGUAUACACUGUAACGAAAA